rnacentral:lncRNA from 1 species
UUGAAGAGAAACAUUACCAAAUAUGUCUUUUCUCCUGCCCAUAUCUUCUGUUUCCACAGGAAAAGGACGCAGGCACAGGCAGCCCAAUGGAAACACAGGAACAUCCACCGUCACUGGGGGAGGAAGGCAAGUCCUGCCUGCAGCCCUGCUCAGAGAGGAAGCAGCUGAAAGUCAACGUCUUAAACAUCAGUAAAGGGGAUGCUGACAACUUGACUUUUCUGCCAGAUUCUGCAGCUCUCUGCUUCCUGAAAAACAAUAAAGACUUGGAUUACUCAACAGGAAACCGUAUUUUUUUCAGAAGAAUUUAUUAUUUCAACCAUUCUCUUACACUUAUUCUUCUGGAAAACUCAACAGAGGAGCAGUUUUCUCCCAAGAAGGCUGCAAGAGUUCGUUCAUCUGUUCCUGAUGAAGAAUCUGUUCCUGAUGAAGAGAUUCUCUUCUGCAGUUCCACAGCACUUAUUUUUGUGUUCAGACUGAGCUUCCUCAAGAUGAGAACAAAUAAAUAGGAACAGUGAUCUCUAUUGAGGGAUCAGGAAAAGUAACAGCACAGCACUUUGAGCCUGCUCACGCCCAUUCACCACAGGAACAG